CCUACGGGAGGCAGCAGUGGGGAAUAUUGCACAAUGGGGGAAACCCUGAUGCAGCGACGCCGCGUGAGUGAAGAAGUAAUUCGUUAUGUAAAGCUCUAUCAGCAGGGAAGAAAAUGACGGUACCUGAGUAAGAAGCCCCGGCUAACUACGUGCCAGCAGCCGCGGUAAUACGUAGGGGGCAAGCGUUAUCCGGAUUUACUGGGCGUAAAGGGUGCGUAGGCGGCAGUGCAAGUCUGGAGUGAAAGGCGGGGGCUCAACCCCCGGACUGCUCUGGAAACUGUACGGCUGGAGUGCAGGAGAGGUAAGUGGAAUUCCUAGUGUAGCGGUGAAAUGCGUAGAUAUUAGGAGGAACACCAGUGGCGAAGGCGACUUACUGGACUGUAACUGACGUUGAGGCUCGAAAGCGUGGGGAGCAAACAGGAUUAGAUACCCCAGUAGUC
rnacentral:rRNA from 1 species